rnacentral:rRNA from 1 species
AUUAGUUUUUUAAUUGAAGGCUAGAAUGAACGGUUGGACAAGAAAUAAUCUGUCUCGAUUAAAUAAAUUGAAUUUAACUUUUGAGUGAAAAGGCUUAGAUGAUCUGGUGGGACGAUAAGACCCUAUAAAACUUUAUAUUUUAGGGUAGUAGUAAGUUUUAUUUUAAGAUUACUAUUAAAAAGUAUUUUAUUGGGGCGAUAGGGAUAUAAUAGCAGAUAACUGUUCUUUUUUUUUACAAUAAUGUUUGGUAAAAAUGAUCCUAGAAGGGAUUGAAGAUUAAGUUACUUUAGGGAUAACAGCGUAAUUUUCUUUGAGAGUCCUUAUCGACAGGAAAGUUUGCGACCUCGAUGUUGAAUUAAAAAUUCUUUAUAGAGUAGAAGCUAUAAUGGAAGGUCUGUUCGACCUUUAAAAUUUUACAUGAUUUGAGUUCAAACCG